rnacentral:rRNA from 1 species
UACGGGGGGGGGCAAGCGUUGUUCGGAAUUACUGGGCGUAAAGGGCGCGUAGGCGGCCUACUAAGUCAGACGUGGAAUCCCCAGGCUCAACCUGGGAACUGCGUCUGAUACUGGAUGGCUUGAAUCCGGGAGAGGGAUGCAGAAUUCCAGGUGUAGCGGUGAAAUGCGUAGAUAUCUGGAGGAAUACCGGUGGCGAAGGCGGAUCUCUGGGCCUUACCUGACGCUGAGGCGCGAAAGCUAGGGGAGCGAACAGG